CGUACAAACAUUGGAGCAUAGCCAAAAUGCCUAAAAAAGGUAACAAGUCGGACAAGAAAUCCACCACCAAGGUAAACAGCUACAGCAUAUUAAACGUCUCUGCCCACACAGCACAUUCUCCCUAACAGUUCAUCACCAGUGCCACCUCAGAGUCCUAAAGAUCAGCCGAAGAAAGGUGAUCAGAAAGCAGAUGACAACACGAAGCAAGGAGGACAGCCGAAGGGAGAGAAGCAAUAACUUCCAGGCCUUUGUGAAGCUGGCCCUGGAGACACUCUUGGGAUCCUGCAACCGCAAAUACAGAGGCCCUCGUGGUAGACAAAGCUGAAGCGACAAAAUAAGAACCGUAUCUCCUAUGCGUUUCAGUUCUUAAUUGGAGCCUCUCGGUCCCACACUGCCUGCUGUCAUGGGUUUUGGAGUCGAACACUCAUACACUGAUGACAACAUCGGAGACUUUUCUAGCCAUUUUCACGCCUCAUCCUUUCACACUGUUGUAUAUAAAUAAUUCAAUGACCUACCUUAAUAAACAUUAUUUCAUACUGGUAUCACACAAA
ensembl:lncRNA